UCUCUGUUUUGGUUACAGCUGUUCUGCUGGGAGGGUGUUACUGCCACGUGGAUGAGAACGGCUGCAGCUCCUGUCAAGUUACAUAAUGAUCAUGGUUUACAUCACUUUGUCGUGGGCGAGCAGGUCCUCGGAUACGCGCGCACGUGCAGAGGCUGGGAGAGCAGAGUGCCGGAGUGUCACGGAGUGUUAAUUUCCAGAUUACUCCUACUUUCUCAGCCAGCUCAUGGUGCUGGAGACUCAUCCAUAGACUUGAUUCAAUGUGUUGGGGUUCUGCAAUGGUGUUAUCAUGUGAACAGAGAGCAGGUGCUGUCUGAGAAGACUUCCUGGAGGAACUGAACUCUGAUCAGGGCUGGAGACACACCAAAGGGAAGAGAGCUAGCAGUUUGUUAAAUGGCCCUGACAGCACGUCUCACAUCAACCAUUCCUCCGAGGCUGGAAUUCGCUGUGGCAGUCACGGGAGACGGUCAGAUUGAUGAAUAGCUUGCAAACAUUUUUGAAGUGGAAAUCUUUUUCGAAAGGAAAUGAAAAUCUUACCUGAAACUCCAGUGGAAGAUAUAGAUGAGAGGGAAGAACACAUUCCCUGUUCAGUCAGGUCCAUGUCAAUAUUUGUGGUGCAUCUAAAGCACCUCUCUGGAGCCUCAGGAGUAUGUAGUACUCAUUUGGAAAUCUAUUGGACCAGAGAGGCUUAGUGAUUGACCAAGGUCACACAGCAAGUUGGUAAUUGAGUUGGGUCUGUAAGCUGGUUUUUCUAAGCGUAGAUAAUUGAGCCAUGUGUAUGCUUCUGUCAAGAGGUAUAUAUGUUUUUUCCCAUUGUCUAGAAUCAGUGAUUAAGGUCCACAGCUAGAUAGGAGGUAAUACAUCCCACUUUUUAUUUAAAAUUUUUUUUCUAUUUUACUUUAUUUUUUUCUUUUCAGGGCCACACCUGCAGCAUAUGGAAGUUCCCAGGAUAGGGAUUGAAUCAGAACUGCAGCUGCCGGUCUAUGCCAUAGUCACAGCAACACGGGAUCCAAGCUGUGUCUGCGACCUAUACUACAGCUUGCGGCAACACCGGAUCCUUAACCCACUGAGUGACGCCCGGGAUAGAACCCACAGUCUCAUAGAUAGUAGUCUGGUUUGUAACCCACUGAGCCACAAGGGGAACUCCCUCUUUGUUUUUUUCAUCCCACAUUUUAAAGAGAGCCUCUAACAACUGGACUUAGCACCUUCUCCCAGAGCUUCCUAUGAAUGGGCAGUAUUGACCCCCCCCCCCCAAGUCAUCCAUACCCCUCCCCACUACUGAACCUCAGUCCAUA
rnacentral:lncRNA from 9 species